GACGAACGCUGGCGGCGUGCUUAACACAUGCAAGUCGAACGAAGUGGCGAACGGGUGAGUAACGCGUAAUCAACCUGCCCUUCAGAGGGGGACAACAGUUGGAAACGACUGCUAAUACCGCAUACUGAAGGAGGGGAUUGCGUCUGAUUCGCUAGUUGGAGGGGUAAUGGCCCACCCAGGCGAUGAUCAGUAGCCGGUCUGGGAGGAUGAACCGCCACAAUGGGACUGGGGCACGGCCCAGGCUCCUACGGGAGGCAGCAGGUGGGAAUCUUCCGCAAUGGGCGAAAGUCUGACGGAGCAACGCCGCGUGAGUGGUGACGGCCUUCGGGUUGUAAAGCUCUGUUAAUCGGGACGCGGUACCGGAAUAGGAAGCCACGGCUAACUACGUGCCAGCAGCCGCGGUAAUUC
rnacentral:rRNA from 1 species